rnacentral:rRNA from 1 species
UAGGGAAGUCUUCGGCAAUGGACGAAAGUCUGACCGAGCAACGCCGCGUGAGUGAAGAAGGUUUUCGGAUCGUAAAACUCUGUUGUUAGAGAAGAACAAGGGUGAGAGUAACUGUUCACCCCUUGACGGUAUCUAACCAGAAAGCCACGGCUAACUACGUGCCGG